GCCCCCGUAGCGCAAUGGUAGCGCGUAAGACUGUAUGUUCACACAUCCAACAUCUUAACUUUCAAGGCCCAUUAACUAAUAAAUCAAUAGUCUAGCUUUACAAGCGAUCUUAAGGUUGCGAGUUCGAGCCUCGCCGGGGGCU